rnacentral:lncRNA from 1 species
CAGAUCCAAGCCAUGUCUGUGACCUACACCCCAGCUCAUGGCAACACCGGAUCCUUAACCCACUGAGCAAGGCCGUGGAUCGAACCUGCGUCCUCAUGGAUACUAGUCAGAUUCGUUUCUGCUGUGCCACACGGGGCCUUGAAAUAUGGUUGGGGUCUGAAUAUGGAACAGUGCAGAGAAGAGGGACGGGCACCCCACAUGGAUGAGCAGUGAGAAAAAGAGCUUGGUGGAAAGAGUGGGGGCGCGCCUGGGGACGGCAAGGAAGCCGGGUCCAGGAGGCAGAGGAUGUGCGGGGAAGGCGGAAGAUGUGGUUGACUGAGAGGUGGCCAUGGGAAGCUCGAGUGAACCACAUCGAAGCCCUCCGUCUAGCGUCGCUUUGCAGUCGUGUGUGUGAUUACUGUCCACCCAUCCAUAGGGCCACCCCGCUACCCUGUGAGCACAGGGGCAUAUGUUUUAUCAUGGACACUGGUAUGUGUAAAGACUUGCGUGUGCCAGACACACCUGGCUCAAAUGGGAGUGCAGCUCUUCCUCAGUUUUGUGUAAUUGCUGGUCACUGAGCUCCAGCGGAGAGCCAUGCCUGGCACUCUGAGACUGACACGCUACCUGCUGUGCUAACAAGGCACCUCAAUGCCUGGCACUAGAUGCUGGAGCGUGAGGACAAACAGGUUGAAAUCUAAAAAGUAAGACUUGGACCGGGGCUGUCCUUAGACUCACCUGAGUCCUUCAGACCUUCCUUCCUGCAGAACCUGGGGAGAUGUUGGGCUGAAGACUGAGGAUGCAGACACCGCGUCUGCCAUCUUCGUCCCAGCAGCUUCCACGCCAAUGCUGAGCUGCCACUGUUCUGCCUUGGGGCCAGACGAAAGGCCGUGUUCUCAUCCAGCGCCCCCUCUGAAAAAGCAGUUUGGUACCUUCUUAUAUACACCCACAAGGCUGGCCCCAGAUUGCAAGGAAAUAUUCAGAAGUGGUUUUCAAUGAUAACAUCCAGCUAACUCCUCUAAACCCAGGAGGCCUGGAGGCUGUUUAUCUCAAGGAAGAUGCCUGGAGCCUUCCCCCCAGACAUAAAUGGAGGAUCCCAGAACGUGUGAACAUGCAUCCUCUGACUGGGUACCGGUCAGCUGUCCCCCCGCCCCCACCACCAGGCACAGGAACCAAGGCAGAGGGCGGGAGGCAGGAGAGGCCAAAGUCCUUACCUGCUUCUGAGCCCAGGUUUUCCUGGCAGAGCUGGGAAGCGGGAAGUAUCUCCCUACCUGCCUCUAGCCCUGAGAUGCUGAGAAGGAAGCCAGGACCCCGAGGGAGGCUUUGGAUCUCUGCAGGACUGUGCCUGUGCCAUCUCUGGCACCAGUCUUUACUGAGCCCCCAGCAGGUUACCGUAGCAUCCAGUCUGGUCUGGCCUGGCACCUAAGAGAUUGGGUUUUAAAACGAGGGCCUAUCUACAAAAAAUAAAGUAAUAGUGACAGCUAAAUUUAUCAAGUAUUUACUCUGUUCCAGGUGUGGUGCUAAGUGUUUGCUUUGCAUUCGCUCAUUUAAGCCUCCCCGUGACUCUGGAAUAAUUGUGGGAUUGUUUGACAGCUGAGGAAACUGAGUCACAGAGAGACAUGGUCUCUUUCUGCAAUCACUCGGCCAGUAACAGGUGGAAGUGGACAUUGAACCCGUCUGCCUCCAGAGCUUGUACGCCUCAGGGAAGUCGGCCCCGGGGGGUGUGUAGGAGCCACCAGAGGUCAGAGCAGAGAGGUCAGCUGCUGACCAGCCGGACUCUGAGAUCCGGUUUCUCGCUGUUGGAGCCGGCUGCCCCCACUGCUUCAGGGAGGGGACUGCUGCCCUGCUGUAUGAGCCACCUUUGCCAGGAGGAUUAGCUUCUUCCUCGUGUCAAAACAAGCCAAGCAGGAAAAAAAUCAACAACCAACUCCCGACUUCCAGCAGCAAGAGCCCUGCAUCCUGUCCAGCAGGAGGGAGCUCUCCGCUGCGGAGGGGGUCGACUGUCCUAGACCACGUCCUGGUUGUGGGCGUGUGCCGAGAGGGACCCCGAGACCCCCGGGUUUCCAGGUCGGGGCCCCGAGGCCCUGGCAGUGCACAGUCCCUGGCAGCAGCCCUUCUCCUCUGCUCCCCAUCCAGCCCUGUGACGUCUGCUGAUAUCCCGUCCUGCCACGGGCUUGCUCUGCGUCCACGGCGAGCCCAGUGACCGUUUGCAGGGUAAGGACAUUGGAUGUGAGCAGUGGUUUUCAAAACAAAAUGUUUCUUUGUUGCAAAGGAACAUGUUCUUCAGAUGAAACAACUUCUGCUAGAAUAGCAAACAGUCUAAAGCAGAGGUGUCAGUUUUCGUAAAAAUAAACAAGGGCCAAAAACCUUGGGUCAGUCAAAAUUCUCUGCGAAUGGUUCCCUGAGCCUGACUGGAUCUCCUUUUGCCAUUCCUGCCCCCUUUGGUGGCCUUUGCACCUUCCGGCUUGAUUGGAAGUUGUGGAUUCUUCGGAGCCCCUCAGCUUCCUCCAUGGAGCCUCAGUGCGUCGUGGUUCCAGCUGCAUUUAUUAACCAUUUUAAUCGUUGGGCUCCCCCGAACUGCCUGGUGGUAGCUUCAGAGAAUGUGUGUGUAUAUUUGCAUACACAUGGUAUUUGCAUAGAUGAUGUAUGCAGACAGCAUAUAUUUGCAUAUGCAUUUAUGUAUAUGUGUGUAUCCGUGGGAACAUAUGUGCGUAUGCAUGUGCGUGUCACAUACGGAGAGAGCCUUUGGAGAGAGGCCAUGUCUUUGUGUCCCUCAGCACCUGGUCAGCAGUAGGCCCGCAGUAGCGUUUCGAUCGCGGGGGUCUUCUGCGUCCUCAGAACAUCUUCUUGCCCAUGUCAGGUGCUCAGUAAAUACUAGCGUCGAAUGAUUGGGUGACUUGGCAGGUCAUACCUGGAAAGUCUUGGCUAUCAAUCUUGGGUCUUGCCAUGUACUUGCUGUAAAAUCGGGGUAAAUAUUCAUCACUUGUCUUAACCAUCAGGUGGGGAUGACAGCGCAUGCCUGCCGCAACUGCUGAUGGAAUGCCUGCCACAGUCCAGGCACGCCUCUCAGCAGUUUACAAAGCAGACAGAGGUCCUUGUCCUCAUGGAGCUCACAUUUCAGCCAGAUUCGAGAAGAGCCCCUCUCCCGCCCCCGACCCCGAGUUGCUGGGAGAAGAGGAGGAGGAAAGGGUCCCUCCUGCUUGGUCAGAGGCAGAGCCACAACCUGGGUUGGGACUGCCACAGGAUGGAGGGGUGCUGGUGGCCUGUGUGGGACACAGGACUCUCAGCGCGGAGUUUACGCCAUGAGAGAAGAGGAGGAGGAAAUGCCAUCGGGGCUGAGCUGGAAGGGCAGCAAGUCUCUCUGCCUCCCCAGGCACCUGCUCUGACUGACCCUGAGGCUGUGCCCCCCGCCCCCAGUCAGCACCACGUGGAGCUGCCCUCGUCUGAGGGCUGCAGCCCCAGAGCCCUGCUGCCUCCAUGCCUCUCUUUUCUAGUGGCAUCUCUUUUACCCAUUUCCAGGGCAUCGCUCUGGGAAAUAGAGAGAGGAGGCUUUGGCCCUGGUCACCUCUGGCUGCCCUGCUGGCCCUCGGAGCCGCAUGUUCAUGGAGGUUUGUCCCUCACCGAGGAUGAUUUCGAGUGAGUUUUACUUGAUCUUGGCUCUGCUUUAGUGCCCUCGUCUAUAAGGUGGGACUGGUAAUAAUUGCACUUACCUCAUGGAGUUAUUGAAAGGAUUAAAUGAGCCUGUAAAGUGCUUAAAAUAGUAUCUGGCUCAGAGUAAGUGCUCUGUCUGUUCAUGCUGGAUGGCUGGAUGCAUUUGUGUAGUGGCGGUGGGCCUGUCUGCUUGGCCCUGUGACCACGAGCUCGCCGUGGGCAGGACACAUCCCACGUGUCCCUAUAGUCUCAGCACCUAGCCCGGUGCCUGGCACACGGUAGGCAUGCCGCAAAUACACGUUAUGAGAACAGUGACCACUCUGGGAACUUUCACAUGCCACAGGUGUGG